AAAAAAGUUUUGACUAAGAAAGACGUUCAGUGAAAAUAUGAAUUGGUGCAGUCAACGGUUUCACAGUAAAAACACCACAAAUUUCAUUCAAGAAUACUAACAAAUUAGUUGCAAAAUAGUAUUAAAUUGUCGGUACAGGCGUAUCCAAU